GGGCGCAUGGCCUAAUGGUAAGGCGUCAGAUUUCGGUCUCCAUGUUGAUCUCUGAAGAUUGCAGGUUCGAUCCCUGCUGUGCUCG
rnacentral:tRNA from 1 species